rnacentral:rRNA from 1 species
AUUGAACGCUGGCGGCAGGCUUAACACACGCAAGUCGAGCGGAGCGAGGGUGCUUGCACCUUAGCUUAGCGGCGGACGGGUGAGUAAUGCUUAGGAAUCUGCCUAUUAGUGGGGGACAACAUUCCGAAAGGAAUGCUAAUACCGCAUACGCCCUACGGGGGAAAGCAGGGGAUCUUCGGACCUUGCGCUAAUAGAUGAGCCUAAGUCGGAUUAGCUAGUUGGUGGGGUAAAGGCCUACCAAGGCGACGAUCUGUAGCGGGUCUGAGAGGAUGAUCGGCCACACUGGGACUGAGACACGGCCCAGACUCCUACGGGAGGCAGCAGUGGGGAAUAUUGGACAAUGGGCGGAAGCCUGAUCCAGCCAUGCCGCGUGUGUGAAGAAGGCCUUAUGGUUGUAAAGCACUUUAAGCGAGGAGGAGGCUCUUAAGGUUAAUACCCUUGAUGAGUGGACGUUACUCGCAGAAUAAGCACCGGCUAACUCUGUGCCAGCCGCCGCGGUAA